CGGCACGUCUUACACANGCACCNCGAACGCAGUAGCAAUACUGAGUGGCGAUNGGGUGAGUAUAAUGUGNGUAUCUGCCUUUUGGUGAGGAAUAACACGAGGAAACUUGUGCUAAUACUUCAUAAGCCUUUACAGGGAAAGUUUUAUACGCCAAAAGAUGAGCCCAUACUUGAUUAGCUAGUUGGUAAGGUAAUAGCUUACCAUNNCUUCGAUCAAUAGNUGAUCUGAGAGGAUGAUCAGCCACAUUGGGACUGAGACACGGCCCAAACUCCUACGGGAGGCAGCAGUGGGGAAUCUUGCACAAUGGGGGAAACCCUGAUGCAGCGAUGCCGCGUGAGUGAAGAAGGCCUUUGGGUUGUAAAGCUCUUUCGUCGGGGAAGAAAAUGACUGUACCCGAAUAAGAAGGUCCGGCUAACUUCGUGCCAGCAGCCGCGGUAAUACGAAGGGACCUAGCGUAGUUCGGAAUUACUGGGCUUAAAGAGCUCGUAGGUGGUUAGAAAAGUUGGUGGUGAAAUCCCAAGGCUUAACCUUGGAACUGCC
rnacentral:rRNA from 1 species